CAGAGAUGCUUUAGUUGCCUUCGGGAACGUCUGAGACAGGUGCUGCAUGGCUGUCGUCAGCUCGUGUUGUGAAAUGUUGGGUUAAGUCCCGNAACGAGCGCAACCCUUAUCCUUUGUUGCCAGCACGUAAUGGUGGGAACUCAAAGGAGACUGCCGGUGAUAAACCGGAGGAAGGUGGGGAUGACGUCAAGUCAUCAUGGCCCUUACGAGUAGGGCUACACACGUGCUACAAUGGCGCAUACAAAGAGAAGCGACCUCGCGAGAGCAAGCGGACCUCAUAAAGUGCGUCGUAGUCCGGAUUGGAGUCUGCAACUCGACUCCAUGAAGUCGGAAUCGCUAGUAAUCGUAAAUCAGAAUGUUACGGUGAAUACGUUCCCGGGCCUUGUACACACCGCCCGUCACACCAUGGGAGUGGGUUGCAAAAGAAGUAGAUAGCUUAACCUUCGGGAGGGCGUUUACCACUUUGUGAUUCAUGACUGGGGUGAAGUCGUAACAAGGUAAGCGUAGUGCU
rnacentral:rRNA from 1 species